rnacentral:rRNA from 1 species
UACGAAGGGGGCUAGCGUUGUUCGGAAUCACUGGGCGUAAAGGGCGCGUAGGCGGCCGACCAAGUCGGGGGUGAAAGCCUGUGGCUCAACCACAGAAUUGCCUUCGAUACUGUUUGGCUUGAGACCGGAAGAGGUUAGUGGAACUGCGAGUGUAGAGGUGAAAUUCGUAGAUAUUCGCAAGAACACCAGUGGCGAAGGCGGCUGACUGGUCCGGUUCUGACGCUGAGGCGCGAAAGCGUGGGGAGCAAACAGG